GACGAACGCUGGCGGCGUGCUUAACAAAUGCAAGUCGAACGGAAAGGCCCUGCCUUUGUGGGGUGCUCGAGUGGCGAACGGGUGAGUAACACGUGAGUAACCUGCCCUUGACUUUGGGAUAACUUCAGGAAACUGGGGCUAAUACCGGAUAGGAGCUCCUGCUGCAUGGUGGGGGUUGGAUAGUUUCGGCGGUUGGGGAGUGACUCGCGGCGUAUCAGCUUGUUGGUGGGGUAGUGGCUUACCAAGGCUUUGACCGGUAGCCGGCCUGAUAGGGUGACAGGCCACGUUGGGACGGGAAUACGGCCCAGACUCCUACGGGAGGCAGCGGUGAGGAAGAGUGCACAAUGGGCUGAAGCCUGAUGCAGCAACGCCGCGUGCGGGAUGACGGCCAGCGGGUUGUAUUCCGCUUUCGCCUGUGACGAAGCGUGAAUGACGGUAAUGGGUAAAGAAGCACCGGCUAACUACGUG
rnacentral:rRNA from 1 species